rnacentral:lncRNA from 1 species
GGCUUACUAAGAUCCUCAGGCUACAUCUUGGAAACAGCUGACUAUAUUACUUCCAUAUUGAUCUCAUUUGGUCAAUAAACAUCAGAGAUCAUGAGGUAUCAGGCUGUGUGUCACCAUAUUCAAAGUGUUACAAAGUAUCAGAUGACUUCAAAAUCUUCCUAAAAUCCAAGAUUUUGACCUCAAUUCAGUGCUAGUGCUCUGACAAGUGACUUGCAGUAAAAAUGAAGUCUGUGGACCAGGCGCCAAAGGCUAAAAAGGAAGUUCACAAACUCAAAGCAUUCUGCUGACACUCAAUAGACAUUGUCUUCAAAAUGUACUCUCAAGCGGUCAGGAUCCUAUUCUCAUGACAUCCUGCAACAUUUGCCUUUUGAAUCACAGUCAAAGACUAAAAGUGAACCUCAAUGAUUUUUGGCUCAUGUACGUAGUGUCUUCAGUAGCAGCUUGCGGCAUUGAUGUGCCCCAAUGGAAUGUUGUUUCCGGAAAGAGGGUAAAUGAAUCACUUUUAUGGGCUGAGUCUUUCUCUGCACGUCACCUUGCAUUAUUAAUGGUUGAUUCAAUUUUGCUGGCUAGAAUUAGAGUUCUUUCUAGGGUGAGGUUAACUUCAAGUAGCUGUCUUAUUAUUUCCUAUAUUGCCAACCAUUAGUAUUAUUUAGACUCAGAGCAUUUUAUUUCUCUUUUCCCUAUGUUUGAUUAUAUUUUUAAUUUCUAUGUGAAUUUCUAGAAGAUGCUUUUAGCUAGCCAAACGAAAACCCC